rnacentral:rRNA from 1 species
AGAACGAACGCUGGCGGCAUGCCUAAUACAUGCAAGUCGAACGAACACUUCGGUGUUAGUGGCGCACGGGUGCGUAACGCGUGGGAAUCUGCCCUUGGGUUCGGAAUAACAGUUGGAAACGACUGCUAAUACCGGAUGAUGACGAAAGUCCAAAGAUUUAUCGCCCAGGGAUGAGCCCGCGUAGGAUUAGCUAGUUGGUGAGGUAAAGGCUCACCAAGGCGACGAUCCUUAGCUGGUCUGAGAGGAUGAUCAGCCACACUGGGACUGAGACACGGCCCAGACUCCUACGGGAGGCAGCAGUAGGGAAUAUUGGACAAUGGGCGCAAGCCUGAUCCAAGCAAAUGCCGCGUGAGUGAUGAAGGCCUUAGGGUUGUAAAGCUCUUUUACCCGAGAUGAUAAUGACAGUAUCGGAGAAUAAGCCCCGGCUAAACUCCGUGCCAGCAGCCGC